AGGUGAGAGUUGACCAGGAGAGAUGACCAGGAGAGGUGAGAGUUGACCAGGAGAGGUGACCAGGAGAGUUGAGAGAGGCGACCAGUAGAGGUGAGAGAGGUGACCAGGAGAGGUGAGAGGUGACCAGGAGAGGUGAGAGGUGACCAGGAGAGCUGACCAGGAGAGGUGAGAGGUGACCAGGAGAGGUGAGAGGUGACCAAGAGAGGUGAGAGGUGACCAGGAGAGAUGAGAGGUGACCAGGAGAGGUGACCAGAAGAGGUGACCAGGAGAGGUGAGAGGUGACAAGGAGAGGUUAGAGGUGACCAGGAGAGGUGAGAGGUGACCAGGAGAGGUGAGAGGUGACCAGGAGAAAUGAGAGGUGACCAGGAGAGGUGAGAGGUGACCAGGAGAGGUGAGAGGUGACCAGGAGAGGUGAGAGGUGACCAGGAGAGAUGAGAGGUGACCAGGAGAGAUGAGAGGUGACCAGGAGAGGUGAGAGGUGACUAGGAGAGGUGAGAGGUGACCAGGAGAGGUGAGAGCUGACCAGGAGAGAUGACCAGGAGAGGUGAGAGGUAACCAGGACAGGUGAGACACCUGGGCCAAAUACUAUAAAGAUAAUUAUUACUUCAAACUGCUGCAGAAACAAGAAAGUAUCACCUCCAA